GACGAACGCUGGCGGCGCGCCUAACACAUGCAAGUCGAACGAGAGAGAGGGAGCUUGCUUCCUCGAUCGAGUGGCGAACGGGUGAGUAACGCGUGAGGAACCUGCCUCAAAGAGGGGGACAACAGUUGGAAACGACUGCUAAUACCGCAUAAGCACACGGCUCGGCAUACAGCAGAGGGAAAAGGAGCAAUCCGCUUUGAGAUGGCCUCGCGUCCGAUUAGCUAGUUGGUGAGGUAGUGGCCCAGCAAGGCGACGAUCGGGAGCCGGACUGAGAAGUUGGACGGCCACAUUGGGACUGAGACACGGCCCAGACUCCUACGGGAGGCAGCAGUGGGGAAUAUUGCACAAUGGGGGAAAGCCUGAUGCAGCGACGCCGCGUGGAGGAAGAAGGUCUUCGGAUUGUAAACUCCUGUUGUUGAGGAAGAUAAUGACGGUACUCAACAAGGAAGUGACGGCUAACUACGUGCCAGCCGCCGCGGUAA
rnacentral:rRNA from 1 species